AUGUCGGCUCAUGUUUCCUCCCCAGCCACAGAGUGGGAGAGGAAUAGUUUUGAGGGAACUCGCCUGGUGGUUUUCCGGGGGACCAGGGGAGGUCGCCGAGGAGGGAGUGGUCGAGAGGAGGCUCAGCAUCGCUCUCAACCAUGGCCCCCCUUCGACCCGGGGCUCGGGUGGGAUGGAUUAGAGCCACUAUCUCACCAUGGCGGACGGAGAGGGGAGAAGAAGCGCAGGUCUGCCAUGGUGGCGCCACUGCCCAUGAUGGCUGCAGGGCCAGCGCCACGAGGCAGGAUGGACGCCAGCCCAGCGCCACAGCACAAGGUGGUCACCAGCCCCACACCACGAGGCCAGACGGCCGCCAGCCCAGCGCCACUGCCCAAGAUGGCCGCUGAGACAUUUUUGGAUUACUUCUCCAUGUUGAACAAGAUCCUAGAGAUUCCCAGGAGUGUUCACGUCACGGCUGCUGAGCCAGCGCCACAGUCCAAGAUGGCCGCCAGCUCAGUGUGCCCAGCACCACAGCACAAGAUGGCUGCUAACCCAGCGCCAAUGCCCAAGAUGGGCGCCAGCCAAGCACCACAGCACAAGAUGGCCGCCAUCCCAGGGCCACUGCACAAGGUGGUCACCAGCCCCACACCACGAGGCCAGACGGCCGCCAGCCCAGCGCCACUGCCCGAUGCCGAGGCGGUGCCCGAUGCUGUUCUGGAGGCCAAGGUGGUGCCCGUGCUGUUCCGGAGGCCAAGGCGGAGGCCAAAGCGGUGCCCGAUGCUGUUCCGGAGGCCGAGGCCGAUGCCGAGGCGGUGCCCGAUGCGGUUCCGGAGGCCGAGGCGGUGCCCGAUGCGGUUCCGGAGGCCGAGGCGGUGCCCGAAGGCGGUGCCCGAUGUGGUUCCGGAGGCCGAGGCGGUGCCCGAUGCCGAGGCGGUGCCCGAUGCUGUUCCGGAGGCCGAGGCGGUGCCCGAUGCUGUUCCGGAGGCCGAGGCGGUGCCUGAUGCCGAGGCGGUGCCCGAUGCUGUUCCGGAGGCCGAGGCGGUGCCCGAUGCUGUUCCGGAGGACGAGGCGGUGCCCGAUGCCGAGGCGGUGCCCGAUGCUGUUCCGGAGGCCGAGGCGGUGCCCGAUGCUGUUCCGGAGGCCGAGGCGGUGCCCGAUGCCGAGGCUGUGCCGGAGGCCGAGGCGGUGCCCGAUGCGGUGCCGGGGGCCGAGGCGGUGCCCGAUGCUGUUCCGGAGGCCGAGGCGGUGCCCGAUGCUGUUCCGGAGGCCGAGGCGGUGCCCGAUGCCGUGCCCGAGAUGGUUCCCGAGGCUGUUCCCGAUGUGGUGCCCAAGGCCGAGGCGGGGUCCACAGGCCGACCAGAGCAUCUUCACGUCUCCACAGGCCGUCCAGAGCAUCUUCACGUCUCCACAGGCCGUCCAGAGCACCUUCACGUCUCCACAGGGGCCCCGGAGUGGCAGGUUCCGUCCUGGCCGCUCAAAUGGCGGGUUCUUCCCUGGCCGUCUGCACAACCUGAACUUUCGGGUCCACCCUGGUCCCCUAAACUGACUGAUCCACCUUGGCUACCGGUGGAGCCAUCGCUUCCUGUCCCGGUUCCCCUACAUGGGCCUGGCCCUCCAUCCCUCCCCCUGUUUUACCUCCACCAGUCCACCUCCCUCCUGGUCUUGUUGUUGUUGUUGUUGUGUUUGUUUUUCCACUUCCUGUCCCUGACGUCUUGGAGUGUCUGGUAGCCACUCCGUAGAGGGGGGGUUAUGUCACAGUGUCUGGGUUGUGUUCCCUGGGUAACCACUAGAUGUCCUCCUUCCCCACGGUGUCUGUCACUUAAUGAACCACAUUACCCACGAUCCCUGUCUCUUCAUUGCACUCAGCUGUCACUGGUUAGUAAUCAUUGCACGCAGUCAAUUCCCCAUUAGCGUUUGUCAUGUCCCUGUGUAUUUAUACCGGUCUGUCUUAGUAUGUGUCACGGAGUCCUUGUUUAUUCUCGUCCGUCUCUUGUCGUGCUCUAGCCUUGUGUCCUUGUUUGUUUAUGUUUGGUAUUGACCCCUGCCUGGACUGUUUAUUCUUUGGAUUGCCCUUAAUAAAAGACAUACUCGCAUUUGGAUCUCUCACAGUGUUUCCUUGUAUCCCGGACGUGACAGAUCUGUACACCAUCCUCCAUUGUUUCAACGACAGCUGGUAAUGUCUCCUAAGAAACAUAAGUGUUCUGUUGUGGGAUGUAAUAAUGAACAUAGUAGUUUUCACUUACUUCCGACAUCAGAGCCACUGAAAACGCAGUGGAUGGAUUUUAUUUACGAAGGAAAGGCGCCACUCAAAAUUCCAAAAUACAUUUGUUUGCGCGAAUCAUUUUUUGACUGACUGUUUUGAGAACGAGGGUCAAUUCAAAGCAGGUCUUGCUUCAAAGUUAAUCCUCAAGUGUGGAUCGUUGCCUACUGUUCACGAUCCAACGUCACCUCCAGAAGAAGUAAGUGUAUUUAAUGUUUUUUGAGCAAAUAGUCAUUUCAGUCGAUGUCAGCCAAUUCAAUAACAAAUGCAUCUAAAGUUGUCGUCGUCGUAGAAUGUCUGUGUAUAUAAUUUAAACUUUGUAUAGUGUGUAUCCACACGUAUAUAAUUUUUUUUUUUUAAGAUAUUGUAACCUUUGAUACAACAAAUAGCGUCAGACAGUUUUAUUUCACGUAUUUUUUGCAACAAUUGCAAAUGUAAAUAAAUUAAUACCUGUUCUAUCUCCCUGCAGCAUAUAUUUUCUGGUUCUGUAGCCAUCUUCUCACAUUUGCCACAUAAGCACCUGUAUAAAACCAAGUAAUGUCAACAUGAAGCAACCGUUCCCUCGUGUAAAUAUAAUUUCGUUUGUACUUAGCAAACGUUAUCACAGUAUUUGUGUUUGUAGUUUCAAAAAAAUUUGCGAACGUUAUCACAGUGUGUGUGUGUGUGUGUGUGUGUGUUGCACAUCCAUAAUUGCAAAGGGGACGCGAUUAAAACUCUAUGUACAUAAAUGUAUCAAAUAACCAUUCAGAGACGUCCUGCUCCAUUCUCAAUUGUGUUUCUUCUGCCGGAGUCUCUUCAUCAUCUGGGUCUGAUUCCGGUUCAAACAUGUACGGCUGAAUGCCAUACAAAACAGCGGGUCUCUCACUCUCAGCCAUUCUGCUUCUACCGACUGUUUAUUGCCAUAGGUAUGCAAGUUACGCCCUCAUCCAAAGGCAGGGCGGGGAUAUGCAGCUCGUUUAUAUUUAAGGUGGUACACACCAAAACAGCUCUUUUUAAAACAGGCCCCAAAAAUGACAUUUUCAAAUGGUUAUAAUAAAUUAACUGUGGGGUAUUUUGUGCUGAAACUUCACAAAUACAUUCUGGGGACACCCAAGACCAAUAUUACAUCUUGUAAAAAGGGGCAUAAUAGGUGCCCUUUAAUGUGUAAUAUGUAUUAAUUUGUGUAAUACCCUCUUAUUUCCUUUUAUGUUUCCCCUUUGUCUUUUUUUUUAAUGUUUAAAUAAAGCACUUUUUACUUUUCCAACAAGAUUUAAAUGUCUUCAACUCCCUAAAGCUCAUGUGUCACAAAAAAAGCCCUAGGUCUAUGAUCUCCGUGAAGUUGGCACCCCAUUAAAAGGAAUAAUCACCAAAACUAUGCCAUUCGUUUGUGCUACGUUUGUGCUGAUUUGUUCCGCAAAAAUGAACGUUUGUGCUGGUUUGGUGUUUGAGAUAUUAAAAAUUCUUUUUUUUGACCGUGUGACGUCACUCUCCACCCCAUGUUGCCUAAAUCGCUCCAAACCAUCGCAGUUCGUUUGUGCUCGGUUUGUGCCGUUAAAUCAAACACUGUAUCUAUUUUCCUUCCAUAGAUAUAACCAAAAUAUUUUCGGAGGCCGUGACGUCACUCUCCACCCCAGUUCGUCUAAAUCACACAAAACUGGUGUCAUUCGUUUGUGCUCGAUUUGUGCCGGUUUGUGCUGUUGAAAUGAACGUCAAAUAUAUUUCUCCUUCUUAGAAAUAACAAAAACAAUUCUGGGCAGUGACGUCACUCUCCACCCCAUGGCGUCCAAAUCUCUCCAAACCGGUGCCAUUCGUUUGUGCUCGAUUUGUGCUGGUUUGUGCCGUUAAAAGAAACCCUGUAAUUAUGACCGCUUCUUUUAUAUAAAAAAAUAACCUUUUUACGAACAGUGACGUCACUCUCCACCCCAUGCAAUCUAAAUGCUUCCAAACUGGUGCAGUUUGUUUGUGAGGUAUUUGACCUCCGUGAAGUUGGCCCCCCACCCAACGCAAAACGUCAGCAAAAUAGUCUCAGUCGUUUGUGCUGGUUUGUGCUGUAAAAAUUUUCGUUUGUGCCGCUUUGGUUUUUUAGAUUAAAAUAAUAUUUAUAGGUCAAUCUGAGGUCACUCAGCCCCCUACAUAAUCCAAAUUCACCCAAAACAGGUUCAAUCGUUUGUGCUUCGUUUGUGCUGGUUUGUGCCGGUAAAAGUUCCGUUUGUGCCGCUUUGGUUUUUUAGAUUAAAAUAAUAUUUAUAGGUCAUUCUGAGGUCACGCUCCAAAUUUACCCCAAAAAAUCUUGUUUGUUUGUGCUUCGUUUGUGCUGGAAAUAUUUUCGUUUUUGCUACUGUUUUUUUUAAAGAUUGUUUUUCCCUAGUCAACUAGUCCCAUGUUUAUAUUAAAUUGAUUAAUAAUAACCUAUUAAACCAUCCUUUUAAUAUAAAGGCAUUUAUAGCCUAUUCCACGCUCAAGCGCGCAUAAAGCACUGGAAAGUAUUGAUUGAAUGCAUAGGGGGAAAAGAAGACAUUGUAAUUAUUUAUUACUUAUUUAUUACUUCUAAUAUUAUUAUAAAUAUUAGAAGUAUAUCUCUGUGCUAGAUUAUUGAUGGGGAGCUGGGCAAUUACUAGUGAAUAUGACCAAAAUAAGGUGUUAUUAUUAUUUUUAUAUGAAUAAUAAAAGCGCUAUAUAGGCGCAUUUCAUGUGUUUAUGAGGAGUGUGGUAGUAUUAUCGCGGCUACUGUAUGAAAUGGAGGCGCCCGCAUAAUCCCUCGCAUUUUUAUUUUCUUUUUUUUUUUUCUGUGGAAAUAAUUUUUUUUGGAUGUGCUUUCUGUCGUCUAAUGCAGUCUCCCUGAAUGGAGCACGUCACAACAAUGAACCGGCUCACAGACAAGAAAUAAAUCUAUAUAAAUCUUAAAUGUUAGUUGGGGACACUUCAUUUACAGCGAUAUCGUUGACUUGAUUGCAAAUUAUUGCACAGAUACCAUUUAAACUGAACUGAGCUGCAUGAUGACAUCACUGAAUUCAAUGAUGAACUGCCUUUAACUGUCAUUUUGCAUUAUUGACACUUUUCCUAAUUAAUGUUGUUCAGUUGCUUUGACGCAAUCUUUUUUGUUUAAAGCGCUAUAUAAAUAAAGAAAUGGAAUAGGCUAUAAAUGCCUAUAUAUUAAAGGAUGGUUUAAUAGGUUCUUAUAUUAAUCAACUUAAUAUAAACAUGGGACUAGUUGACUAGGGAAAAAAAUCUUUUAAAAAACAGUAGCAAACCCGAAAAUAUUUCUAGCACAAAUGAAGCACAAACAAACAAGUUUAUUUGGGGUAAAUUUGGAGCAUGUGGGGGGCUGAGUGACCUCAGAAUGAUCACUAAAUAUUAUUUUAAUAUCUAAAAGACCGACGGAGCACAAAAAUAAAUAAAUAAAUAAAUAAAUAAAAAUACAGCACAGACAAAGAUUAUUUGGGGUAAAUUUGGAGCGUGACCUCAGAAUGAUCACUAAAAAUAUAAAAAAAAAACCGAAGCAUCACAAACGAACAUUUUGACGGCACAAAUUAAACAUAAAGAAGAUUAUUUUGGGUGGAUUUCGAGCAUGUGGGGGGAUGAGUGACGUCAUCGUCUAUAAUUCAUUAUCUAAUAUUUUAAAAACCAAAGCAGCACAAAUGAAACUUUUACCGGCACAAACCAGCACAAACGAAGCACAAACGAUUGAACCUGUUUUGAGUGAAUUUGGAGUAUGUGGGGGGCUGAGUGACCUCAGAUUGACCUAUAAAUAUUAUUUUAAUCUAAAAAACCAAAGCGGCACAAACGAAAAUUUUUAC
ensembl:lncRNA